rnacentral:rRNA from 1 species
AACCUGCCCUUGGGACGGGGACACCCCCGGGAAACUGGGGUUAAUCCCCGAUAGGCGAAGAACUCUGGAAUGAAUCUCCACCUAAAAGGCGCUUGCGCUAUGCUCGCAGGUGUCGCCCAAGGAUGGGGCCGCGACCGAUCAGGUUGUUGGUGAGGUAAUGGCUCACCAAGCCUUUUACCGGUGCGGGCCGUGGGAGCGGGAGCCCGGAGAUGGGCACUGAGACAAGGGCCCAGGCCCUACGGGGCGCAGCAGUCGCGAAAACUCUGCAAUACACGAAAGUGUGACAGGGCUAUCCCGAGUGCCAUCCGCUGAGGAAGGCUUUUACCCAGUUUAGAACGCUGGGAGAAUAAGGAGAGGGCAAGACUGGUGUCAGCCGCCGCGGUAAUACCAGCUCUUCGAGUGGUGUGGAUGUUUAUUGGGCCUAAAGCAUCCGUAGCUGGCUGGGCAAGUCCCCUGUUAAAUCCACCGAUUUAAUCGUUGGAGUGCGGGGGAUACUGCUCGGCUAGGGGACGGGAGAGGCAGACGGUAUUUUCGGGGUAGGGGUGAAAUCCUAUAAUCCCGAGAGGACCACCAGUGGCGAAGGCUGUCUGCUAGAACGCGCCCGACGGUGAGGGAUGAAAGCUGGGGGAGCGAACCGGAUUAGAUACCCGGGUAGUCCCAGCUGUAAACGAUGCAGGCUAGGUGUUUGGACGGCCACGUGCCGUUCUAGUGCCGCA